CCGGUUGUAUGACGUCAUCAACAUACCCGCAACUGUAGGCGUCUCGGCGAAGAGCGACUCCCAGUGUUUAUCUCCUACCAUGUCGUAAUACAGAGUUCUGUAUUUGUAGAUGUGUUACAUAUCAUGGAAUGAUUGAGGGAAUAAUUUGACAGCACUAAGAUUUAGAUGCCUGGGAUCACGACAUAGGCAUUAAAAGAGAUGCUGUCGCCGACAAAGAAGAUGGACGCAGACACGAGUGAUGUCAGCACUGACGACAGUUGACAACAAUGAUUGUCCUCAGCGUGACGGUACAGAAGAAGCAUGCACGCCUCCAGUAGACCAGCAGAAAGCUUCCUUAAACAUGGAUGUGAAAGGGGCGGUAAAUUGCGAUGUGAAAUAUAACUACACUAUCGGGCAACUGAACGUGCAAAAGGUAUG